rnacentral:tRNA from 1 species
UGGGUCGUCGGCCGAUCUGGUCGGCCUCGAUCCCUUGGGGGUCGGGAUAGCGGGGCGGUCGAACUGGCGGGCGGCUUCGGUUGCCGCCGUCUCGGC